rnacentral:rRNA from 1 species
GCUGACGAGUGGCGAACGGGUGAGUAAUGCAUCGGAACGUGCCCAGUCGUGGGGGAUAACGCAGCGGAAGCUGCGCUAAUACCGCAUACGAUCUAUGGAUGAAAGCGGGGGACCGUAAGGCCUCGCGCGAUUGGAGCGGCCGAUGUCAGAUUAGGUAGUUGGUGGGGUAAAGGCUCACCAAGCCAACGAUCUGUAGCUGGUCUGAGAGGACGACCAGCCACACUGGAACUGAGACACGGUCCAGACUCCUACGGGAGGCAGCAGUGGGGAAUUUUGGACAAUGGGCGCAAGCCUGAUCCAGCAAUGCCGCGUGCAGGAAGAAGGCCUUCGGGUUGUAAACUGCUUUUGUACGGAACGAAACGGUCUGAGUUAAUACCUCGGGCUAAUGACGGUACCGUAAGAAUAAGCACCGGCUAACUACGUGCCAGCAGCCGCGGUAAUACGUAGGGUGCAAGCGUUAAUCGGAAUUACUGGGCGUAAAGCGUGCGCAGGCGGUGAUGUAAGACAGUCGUGAAAUCCCCGGGCUCAACCUGGGAAUUGCGAUUGUGACUGCAUCGCUGGAGUGCGGCAGAGGGGGAUGGAAUUCCGCGUGUAGCAGUGAAAUGCGUAGAUAUGCGGAGGAACACCGAUGGCGAAGGCAAUCCCCUGGGCCUGCACUGACGCUCAUGCACGAAAGCGUGGGGAGCAAACAGGAUUAGAUACCCUGGUAGUCCACGCCCUAAACGAUGUCAACUGGUUGUUGGGUCUCUUCUGACUCAGUAACGAAGCUAACGC